GACAGAGGGUGCGAACGUUGCUCGGAAUUACUAGGCGUAAAGCACAUGUAAACAAAUAAUCAAAUCAGAUGUGAAAUCCCUAAGCUCAACCCAAAAACUGCAUUUAAAACUGGUUGCCUUGAGUGUUGGAGAAAAAAGCGGAAUUCCUGGUAUAGAGGUGAAAUUCGUAGAUAUCAGGAGGAACACCAAUGACGAAGGCGGCUUCCUGGACAAUUACUGACGCUGAGACGCGAAAGCGUGGGGAGCAAACAGG
rnacentral:rRNA from 1 species